AUGGAGGACACACGUGUGCUGGAGCUUAUACUUGAAGGAAAGGAGAACCCGACGAAUCUGUCAUUGGCACUGUUACAUAAAAUCACCAAUGGUUUCUCCGAAGAGAGAAAGAUUGGUCAGGGUGGAUUUGGAGAGGUUUACAAGAUACCGACAAAAGAGGCUCAAUCAGAAGAAAUUAAUUUGGCCAGCGUAAAAGCAAAAUUGUUCUGUUUCGAGUAUAUCAGCAAAGGAAGCCUUGAUCAGCAUAUUAGUGAUGAAUUAAGGGGACUUGAUUGGGAAACACGUUAUGAAAUCAUCAUGGGAAUCUGCCAGGGUGAUAAAAUGGUUCCAAAACUAACGGAUUUUGGUUUGUCAAGACCAAAUAAAAACUCACGUACUAUGGCACAACCUAUUGGAACACGAGGAUAUAUCGCUCCAGAAUACGAAAAAGAUGGGGAAAUUUCCUUCAAGGCUGACAUAUAUAGUUUGGGUGCCAUAAUCAUAGAAUUAGUAAAGGGGUGUAAGGGCGUCCCUCACAAAAAUAAUGUACUUCGAAGAUGGAGACACAGGUGGAAUAAGCCACCAACAUCGGUACAAUACCAUCAAGUCACUAGAUGCAUUGACAUGGCAGUACAGUGCAUGCAGGAAAAACCAGGACAUAGACCUUCUAUAUCGGAAAUAAUCCACAUUUUGAGUGAACCUGGGAGGAUGAAUGGUAACCCUGACGAGGUAAGGCCAACUCUAACGAAUCCCCUAAAAAAUAGAGGAGUAAACCUUAGUGGAAUAUGUUUGUGGAACACCACCUCCUCCAUCCUCCCCCCCCCCCUCGCCGCCGCCAAGGGCCACUACCAGGCAAAGCCCGGGCAGUGCCGGUGGCGGCGGUGCCUCUCCCCUAGCGCGCCUCUCCCUCCUUCAUUGUGGAGGCCUAGUUUUUCCUGGUGA
rnacentral:rRNA from 1 species